UACGUAGGGUCCGAGCGUUGUCCGGAAUUACUGGGCGUAAAGAGCUCGUAGGUGGUUUGUCGCGUUGUUCGUGAAAACUCACAGCUUAACUGUGGGCGUGCGGGCGAUACGGGCAGACUAGAGUACUGCAGGGGAGACUGGAAUUCCUGGUGUAGCGGUGGAAUGCGCAGAUAUCAGGAGGAACACCGGUGGCGAAGGCGGGUCUCUGGGCAGUAACUGACGCUGAGGAGCGAAAGCAUGGGGAGCGAACAGG
rnacentral:rRNA from 1 species